AUCUAGUUGACGAGUCCAAAAUGGGACGAAAUACACAUCCUGGAU
rfam:Trichobilharzia regenti genome assembly, scaffold: TRE_scaffold0121993